GUGCUAUCGCUCCAGCACAUAUACUAAAAUUAGAACGACACAGAGAAGAUUAGCAUGACCCAAAAAGCAAAUAAAUAAAUAAAUAAAUAACUGUCACUGUCCU